rnacentral:rRNA from 1 species
CCUACGGGUGGCAGCAGUGGGGAAUAUUGGACAAUGGGGGGAACCCUGAUCCAGCCAUGUCGCGUGUGUGAAGAAGGCCCUCGGGUUGUAAAGCACUUUCAGUGAGGAAGAACGCCUGGUGGUUAAUACCCAUCAGGAAAGACAUCACUCACAGAAGAAGCACCGGCUAACUCCGUGCCAGCAGCCGCGGUAAUACGGAGGGUGCGAGCGUUAAUCGGAAUUACUGGGCGUAAAGCGCGCGUAGGUGGCUUGAUAAGCCGGUUGUGAAAGCCCCGGGCUCAACCUGGGAACGGCAUCCGGAACUGUCAGGCUAGAGUGAAGGAGAGGAAGGUAGAAUUCCCGGUGUAGCGGUGAAAUGCGUAGAGAUCGGGAGGAAUACCAGUGGCGAAGGCGGCCUUCUGGACUGACACUGACACUGAGGUGCGAAAGCGUGGGUAGCAAACAGGAUUAGAUACCCCUGUAGUC